rnacentral:rRNA from 1 species
UACGUAGGUGGCAAGCGUUGUCCGGAUUUAUUGGGUUUAAAGGGUGCGUAGGCGGUCUAUUAAGUCAGUGCUGAAAUAUCCCGGCUUAACCGGGAGGGUGGCAUUGAUACUGAUGGACUUGAGUAGAGUCGAGGUAGGCGGAAUUGACGGUGUAGCGGUGAAAUGCUUAGAUAUCGUCAAGAACACCGAUAGUGUAGACAGCUUACUAGGCUCAAACUGACGCUGAGGCACGAAAGUGUGGGGAGCAAACAGG